ACGGCCGCGGUACCCUAACCGUGCGAAGGUAGCAUAAUCACUUGUUCUUUAAAUGAGGACUCGUAUCAACGGCAUCACGAGGAUCCUACUGUCUCCCCCCUCUAAUCGGUGAAACUGAUCUCUCCGUGAAGAAGCGGAGAUGUACAUAUAAGACGAGAAGACCCCAUGGAGCUUUAAACCCAACAACACCCGCCCCCCCUCCAAAUCCUAUUAUUUACCCGGUGAUUGUUUGUUUGGUUUUAGGUUGGGGUGACCGCGGAGUAUAAGAUAUCCUCCAUGAAAAAAAGCUAACUGCCCUUAUUAGAGAAAGACACUUCCAAAAAAUAAUAAAUUAAUUUUAAAUGAUCCGACAUUCGAUCAACGAACCAAGUUACCCUGGGGAUAACAGCGCAAUCCGUCCCGAGAGCCCCUAUCGACAGGCGGGUUUACGACCUCGAUGUUGGAUCAGGGUAUCCCAGUGGUGCAGCAGCUACUAAAGGUUCGUUUGUUCAACGAUUAA
rnacentral:rRNA from 1 species